UCUCUGCGCAAGGCUUCAUUGGCAGGAGCUCCAGUGAAAUUAGUGAAUGUCCAAUUUGCAUGCAAGCUCGUUCUCAUCUGUUUCUUCUUGAGCUUUUUUCUUCCUUCUGAAGUAAUUUGACUAAUUUCUCAUCCUCAUAUGCAUUUCCUUCUUCAAUCUUCUGAGAUAUUUAAAGAAAUAGUAAAAAUUCCAAACAGAUGAAACAAAAACAUAAAAAAAACACUUAGUAUAAAUCAAACUUAUUUUAGAUCGAAACAUAGAAAACGGAAAUGGGAAAUUCAGCAGAGCAAGUAAGUGUGUGGACAGAAUAUUUAAAAACAGAGUGAUUAUGUAAGAAAACAUUGAUAAUGAAAUAAAAAAUUGCAAACUGAGAGAUGAUUUAUGGUGAUACAGUAUCCCGAACCCGGUCACAACCUACCAUCAACUAGAUGUCCGGAUAGCCUAAGAUGAGUUAAGGUACCUAUUUUAGGGUUGGGGAGGUCCCAAGUCGAAUCCUAGGAAGAUCGACUUCCCUGGGAUCGACUUCUAAAUAAAGUCGAUCACCAGGAAAGUCGAUCCCCAGAAAGUCGAUCUCUGGAAAGUCGAUCUCGGGCCCCAAUCUGAUCAGUUAGGCAGUUAGGCGGUUACUGCCCAAAUGACCAGAUUACCCCCAUAAGAACCCCUAUAAAUAGGAGGCAUCCCCCACUCAUUAAAGGCAGGUCAUUUGGAGUGAAAGGAUUCCUAGCGAAGCAGAGCUCUGCGCACUUGAGUUCCGGUCCGGUUUCCCGCGGAGUUCCCCGCUUGGCGCUUGCUUGCGCGUCUUGGAGUACUGGUCGGGUUUCACCCCCAUCAAUUUAUAAUUCAUAAAAAACACAGAGAUAAUAGUGAAUUUAUGAUCAUACAUUCAUUGUCAAUGAAAGUGAUAUAUGGAGGGAGUAUUUACCGACUGCAGAAGCAAGAUUUUUUACUUUCAUUGCUGAUGAUGCCAUCUGAAAAUU
rnacentral:lncRNA from 1 species